GUCAAACUAAAAGACUUGGACUUCAUCCAUUGUCAGGCGAUGUCUAUGCAAUUUUCUUCAUACAAAGAGGAAGUUUGCGAUGCACUCGUGGUCCUGAGCCUACUUCCCACUGCUGAGCGAGUGACCGUAACCUUAUUGAAGUUCAGAUUCAAAAAAUCCUUUCCCGGAGUUAAAGGCAUUUACGCUAAGGUUGGUCUUGUUUACAACUCGCGCACGCUACGAAAGAAGAAAAGCAG